rnacentral:snoRNA from 1 species
UUGCACAGUGAAUACCCAAGUGUGCUUUAUAGUUUCCUUGGCUUUGACCCUGUGCUAGAGCAUUACGUAUUCUUCUCUGCAUUGAAAGGAAUAUUUAUCCUUUUAAAUGUAUUCCGAAAGCCAGCACAUUA